rnacentral:rRNA from 1 species
GAUGAACGCUGACAGAAUGCUUAACACAUGCAAGUCAACUUGAAUUUGGGUUUUUAACUUAGAUUUGGGUGGCGGACGGGUGAGUAACGCGUAAAGAACUUGCCUCACAGUUAGGGACAACAUUUAGAAAUGAAUGCUAAUACCUGAUAUUAUGAUUUUAAGGCAUCUUAGAAUUAUGAAAGCUAUAAGCACUGUGAGAGAGCUUUGCGUCCCAUUAGCUAGUUGGAGAGGUAACAGCUCACCAAGGCGAUGAUGGGUAGCCGGCCUGAGAGGGUGAACGGCCACAAGGGGACUGAGACACGGCCCUUACUCCUACGGGAGGCAGCAGUGGGGAAUAUUGGACAAUGGACCAAGAGUCUGAUCCAGCAAUUCUGUGUGCACGAUGAAGUUUUUCGGAAUGUAAAGUGCUUUCAGUUGGGAAGAAAGAAAUGACGGUACCAACAGAAGAAGUGACGGCUAAAUACGUGCCAGCAGCCGCGGUAAUACGUAUGUCACGAGCGUUAUCCGGAUUUAUUGGGCGUAAAGCGCGUCUAGGUGGUUAUGUAAGUCUGAUGUGAAAAUGCAGGGCUCAACUCUGUAUUGCGUUGGAAACUGUAUAACUAGAGUACUGGAGAGGUAAGCGGAACUACAAGUGUAGAGGUGAAAUUCGUAGAUAUUUGUAGGAAUGCCGAUGGGGAAGCCAGCUUACUGGACAGAUACUGACGCUAAAGCGCGAAAGCGUGGGUAGCAAACAGG